rnacentral:misc_RNA from 1 species
CGUGGCAACUUUGGACAACGCUCGCUCAAGCUCAGCCUGCGCCCGAAACUUUCGAGAAUUGCCACCGUGAUCAGCAGCAGUUCUGUACCGGCAUGAAGGCGGUGCGCGCGGACGAUGUCGGCUGCACAGCAGGUCNNNNCCAUAUCGCUUUUCGAAGAAAAUCGUGAGCGAUGCGUUGCCGCCUCGAUAAAAUAUCGAGAUC